UACGUAGGGUGCAAGCGUUGUCCGGAAUUAUUGGGCGUAAAGAGCUCGUAGGCGGUCUGUUGCGUCGGCUGUGAAAACCCGGGGCUCAACUCCGGGCCUGCAGCCGAUACGGGCAGACUAGAGUUCGGCAGGGGAGACUGGAAUUCCUGGUGUAGCGGUGAAAUGCGCAGAUAUCAGGAGGAACACCGGUGGCGAAGGCGGGUCUCUGAGCCGAUACUGACGCUGAGGAGCGAAAGCGUGGGGAGCGAACAGG
rnacentral:rRNA from 1 species